rnacentral:lncRNA from 10 species
GGUUUCAUUUUCCAUUUACCAACUUGCAAAAUUAGUAAACUUGGAAAACAUCCCCAUGGUUAAUUGAGAAACAAGAACUCCAAACUACCCAGAGAUAACAACACUCGGUUUAGGGCAGUAUUUGCUCAGAUUGGUGUUUUUUUGUUGUUGUUUUUGUGUUUUUGAGACAGGGUCUCUCACUCUGUCGCCCAGGCUGGAGUGCAGAGGCACGAUCUCAUCUCAUUGCAACCUCCGCCUGCCAGGCUAAAGCGAUCCUCUCACCUCAGCCUCCCACGUAGCUGAGGCGGGAGAAUCCCUUGAACCCAGGAGGCAGAGAUUGUGGUGAGCCAAGAUUGCACCAAUGCACUCCAGCCUGGGCAGCAGAGCAAGACAGUCUCAAAAAAUAAUAUAAAAUAAACAUAAAGGCAGUAACAAGCACUGGGGAAUACAUAGAGGAACUGGAAUCCUGGUACAUGCAUUGCUGUUGAGAAU